AGUGAACGCUGGCGGUAGGCCUAACACAUGCAAGUCGAACGGCAGCACAGUAAGCGCUUGCUCUUACGGGUGGCGAGUGGCGGACGGGCGAGGAAUACAUCGGAAUCUACUUUUUCGUGGGGGAUAACGUAGGGAAACUUACGCUAAUACCGCAUACGACCUACGGGUGAAAGCAGGGGAUAUUCGGACCUUGCGCGAUUGAAUGAGCCGAUGUCGGAUUAGCUAGUUGGCGGGGUAAAGGCCCACCAAGGCGACGAUCCGUAGCUGGUCUGAGAGGAUGAUCAGCCACACUGGAACUGAGACACGGUCCAGACUCCUACGGGAGGCAGCAGUGGGGAAUAUUGGACAAUGGGCGCAAGCCUGAUCCAGCCAUACCGCGUGGGUGAAGAAGGCCUUCGGGUUGUAAAGCCCUGUUGUUGGGAAAGAAAAGCAGCAGGUUAAUACCCCGCUGUUCUGACGGUACCCAAAGAAUAAGCACCGGCUAACUUCGUG
rnacentral:rRNA from 1 species